AGGGGCGUAGCUCAAUUUGGCAGAGUAGCGGACUCCAAAUCCGUUGGUUGCAGGUUCGAGUCCUGUCGCCCCUG
rfam:Thermanaeromonas toyohensis ToBE genome assembly, chromosome: I